rnacentral:rRNA from 1 species
CCUACGGGCGGCAGCAGUGGGGAAUAUUGGGCAAUGGACGCAAGUCUGACCCAGCAACGCCGCGUGAAGGAAGAAGGCUUUCGGGUUGUAAACUUCUUUUAAGGGGGAAGAGCAGAAGACGGUACCCCUUGAAUAAGCCACGGCUAACUACGUGCCAGCAGCCGCGGUAAUACGUAGGUGGCAAGCGUUGUCCGGAUUUACUGGGUGUAAAGGGCGUGUAGCCGGAGAGGCAAGUCAGAUGUGAAAUCCGCGGGCUCAACUCGCGAACUGCAUUUGAAACUGCUUCCAUUGAGUAUCGGAGAGGUAAUCGGAAUUCCUAGUGUAGCGGUGAAAUGCGUAGAUAUUAGGAAGAACACCAGUGGCGAAGGCGGAUUACUGGACGACAACUGACGGUGAGGCGCGAAAGCGUGGGGAGCAAACAGGAUUAGAUACCCGGGUAGUC